rnacentral:rRNA from 1 species
ACUACGGGAGGCAGCAGUGGGGAAUAUUGGGCAAUGGGCGCAAGCCUGACCCAGCAACGCCGCGUGAAGGAAGAAGGCUUUCGGGUUGUAAACUUCUUUUCUCAGGGACGAAGAAAGUGACGGUACCUGAGGAAUAAGCCACGGCUAACUACGUGCCAGCAGCCGCGGUAAUACGUAGGUGGCAAGCGUUAUCCGGAUUUACUGGGUGUAAAGGGCGUGUAGGCGGGAAAGCAAGUCAGAUGUGAAAACCAUGGGCUCAACCUGUGGCCUGCAUUUGAAACUGUUUUUCUUGAGUACUGGAGAGGCAGACGGAAUUCCUAGUGUAGCGGUGAAAUGCGUAGAUAUUAGGAGGAACACCAGUGGCGAAGGCGGUCUGCUGGACAGCAACUGACGCUGAGGCGCGAAAGCGUGGGGAGCAAACAGGAUUAGAUACCCCAGUAGUC